UACGAAGGGUGCAACCGUUGCUCGGAAUUAUUGGGCGUAAAGCGCACGUAGGCGGCUUGGCAAGUCGGAUGUGAAAUCCCUCGGCUCAACCAAGGAAGUGCAUCCGAAACUGCUGAGCUUGAGUACUUAAGAGGAUCGCGGAAUUCCCGGUGUAGAGGUGAAAUUCGUAGAUAUCGGGAGGAACACCAGUGGCGAAGGCGGCGAUCUGGGAAGAUACUGACGCUGAGGUGCGAAAGCGUGGGGAGCAAACGGG
rnacentral:rRNA from 1 species